rnacentral:rRNA from 1 species
CAGCUCCAAUAGCGUAUAUUAAAGUUGUUGUGGUUAAAAAGCUCGUAGUUGAACCUUGGGCCUGGCUGGCCGGUCCGCCUCACCGCGUGCACUGGUCCGGCCGGGCCUUUCCCUCUGCGGAACCCCAUGCCCUUCACUGGGUGUGGCGGGGAAACAGGACUUUUACUUUGAAAAAAUUAGAGUGCUCAAGGCAGGCCUAUGCUCGAAUACAUUAGCAUGGAAUAAUAGAAUAGGACGUGUGGUUCUAUUUUGUUGGUUUCUAGGACCGCCGUAAUGAUUAAUAGGGACAGUCGGGGGCAUCAGUAUUCAAUUGUCAGAGGUGAAAUUCUUGGAUUUAUUGAAGACUAACUACUGCGAAAGCAUUUGCCAAGGAUGUUUUCAUUAAUCAGGAACGAAAGUUAGGGGAUCGAAGACGAUCAGAUACCGUCGUAGUCUUAACCAUAAACUAUGCCGACUAGGGAUCGGACGAUGUUACAUUUUUGACGCGUUCGGCACCUUACGAGAAAUCAAAGUGCUUGGGCUCCAGGGGGAGUAUGGUCGCAAGGCUGAAACUUAAAGAAAUUGACGGAAGGGCACCACCAGGGGUGGAGCCUGCGGCUUAAUUUGACUCAACACGGGGAAACUCACCAGGUCCAGACACAAUGAGGAUUGACAGAUUGAGAGCUCUUUCUUGAUUUUGUGGGUGGUGGUGCAUGGCCGUUCUUAGUUGGUGGAGUGAUUUGUCUGCUUAAUUGCGAUAACGAACGAGACCUUAACCUGCUAAAUAGCCCGUAUUGCUUUGGCAGUACGCCGGCUUCUUAGAGGGACUAUCGGCUCAAGCCGAUGGAAG